AUAUAUAUAUAUAUAUAUAUAUAUGGAAAAUAGCCAGAUGCCCACAUGGCUAGCUACCCAUGGGGUAACAACCGUUGAUUCACCACACAGAUGAUAUAGGGAGCAGGAUUCGUUGGAGUUCAAAGCAAACGCCAUGCGUACGCCGUCAGAUCGAGCACAUAGGCAACUCAAUGAUUUUGCUUCACCACGUAGAACCUGGCCACCUGCUGCCUUCGAGCAAGCGUCAUAUCCACACGGCACGGUUAGCAGCCCUGGCCCCACAGCACAGCUAGGGAACAAGGCAUGCGCCAUUAUGUAGCAUCAGCAGGUGGGAUAAGUGCCUCAAAAAAAAGCAGGUGGGAUAAGCACGCACGGCAAGCUGCCGUCCCAAUCUUGCCAUUUUCUGUUCUCACCGCAUCCUCGCCGCCGCCGCUCUUCCAUGGCCCGACCUGCAUCGGCGCCGCCCCUACCAUCCCUCUCUCCACAACCUCUUUUCUCCCCGCAGGUCGCUCCCCACCACCGCUUUUUUUCCCUGGAAGAAUCCCGUUUCCAUGUAUUUUUCCACAUUGGAUCUGUGGGAACGACGAUGAUUGCGCCGGCGUGUCGGGACAGGAGGACCAGUGGAGCAUCUUCAUCGACAUGCUCGUGCUGGAGCCCGCCAUCACCGGCUUCUCCGGCCGCAACCUGGAAUCGCUGCAAGGGGCACGGGAGAUACUCUCCAAGGUGAGGCUGCUGCUCAAUGUGUAGCUCCGGAACCUGGUCUCCCUCCUCAGCUGAUACGCCUCCUCUGCUGCCGGGGCCGGAGCCGGGCACAAGAUGCUCGUAUACCCGCACAAGAUGCUCGUAUACCCGUACUUUUCAAACGGCAGCCUUGGAGACUUCCUCUUCGGUGAGUCACCUCCAUUCCAACCUCGAGUUCUCCAUUAUCUGCAAUAAUUUAGGGCCAGACUUAAACACAAUUCGCCUAAUGUUAGAGUUCAUGUGGGUUUUUUUUGGUUUCGCUGUCAGGAUUCAUACGAUUUGUAAGGAAGCAGUAUAAUUAUCCGCUACUCCGGUCAACAGUGUAAUGGUAGUUUGGUCGUCUCGUGCUUGUGCCAUAAAAAUAAUACUCCCUGAAUACUGCAGUAUAUACUAUGGUGAAUGAGAAGCUAGCUAGCUUGUGCACUCGAUCCCUAUUAGAUACUGCAGUGUAUACUUCUUGCUUACAUUACAGUCUGUAUAAACGAUGCUGACAUUACAGUCGGAAUAAAUCCCACUUUUAAAUUCUGUCUAAUUGUACAACUUGUUGAGAAUGCAAUUCAGUGUAAUUGUACAACCUGUUGAGUAUUCUCCGUAAAAUACCCAUUCAUGUACUUUGAAAUUAACUUCAAUCUGGAGUAGUAGUGUAGUGAAGAUGAUCUCUGAAUUCACUUUAAUCAACCAGAUGCUCCUCUAGCUUAGUACUCCAUGGGCUUAUUGUCAUCUUUCUAGUAUUGGAGUGUGCCUUCUUGACGUGAACGAGCUUGGAGGCAAUCUGGGGGUGAACGAGCUCUCCCAAUCUGGCCAUGAUCCAACCCCAAUUAGCAUUUUGGAAUCAUUAUUUGGCAGCGUUAAUGUCAGUUUUUGUUUGGUUUAGUAAGGACGCAGUGGAGACCAUGAACAAUCAUAGCGCAGUGAAGAUUGGUUGUUUCUCUGGGUUUUGUGAAUGAUAGUGGUUUCACAGACAAUAGGAUUGUUUCUAUUGCUCACGAUCCACCUCAAUUAUUCACUGGUAGAUGCUAGGCAACAUAUUGAUUUUCCCUUCAUAUCGUGCUGAAUGGAAAAAUCCGAAUUGGAUUUGUUUGUUUGACGUGCUGUUUUGGGGAAAAGCUAGAAUGAGAGUCUGCUGUUGCUCCAGCUCCAACAAUUUUGGAUCCAAAUGUGAUGUAAUCCCUUUCUCUCACUUGACUGAGUUUUGCUUUUUUGGAGACAAAUAUUUUUUUGGAUCAGCUGACAAUCUUUUACUGAAGCUAAUGUAUCUGGUACUGAAGCUAAUGGAGUCAUUAAUGUAAAAAUUUGCACAACCAAAACAAUCAGUCAGACAUGGUGCCCGCCUGGUUCUGGACAAUGAUGGCUUUCACCGUGCUUGCUUCCCUGUACCUGUGUGGCGGACAAUUGUUGGUCGCUGUGCAUACCAUGGCCUCAUACACCUGCACCAUCCUGCUCAUCUACUAUGUGCGCCGCAUGGAGUUCGCUUCACCGGCGUCAAGGCCAGCGAUGGCAGUAGCCGUGGUGGUUCUCCUAUUGUGGACAUGGGAUUGACCGACAAUGUUGCUAGGGAUAGCAGCUGGUACUAUCUUCACGAUCGCUACUCCAAGCACGAGUUUUAUGACUGAGAACGAGGAGGCCUCCGUAGUUGGAGAACCUUGAUGUAACUUGGAUAGGGUACUGGAACAAAUUAAUGUAUCUUGUUAAGCAAUGAUUGAUUACUGUCUUAUGGGUGCACGCUUCCAUGUAAAUCGUUCUAUGUUAUGAAAUCAGUUUGUUUUUUCA